rnacentral:rRNA from 1 species
GGUGCUGAAGUAACAAAUGCCCUGCUUCCAGGAAAAGCCUCUAAGCAUCAGGUAACAUCAAAUCGUACCCCAAACCGACACAGGUGGUCAGGUAGAGAAUACCAAGGCGCUUGAGAGAACUCGGGUGAAGGAACUAGGCAAAAUGGUGCCGUAACUUCGGGAGAAGGCACGCUGGUGUGUAGGUGAAGUCCCUGCGGAUGGAGCUGAGACCAGUCGAAGAUACCAGCUGGCUGCAACUGUUUAUUAAAAACACAGCACUGUGCAAACACGAAAGUGGACGUAUACGGUGUGACGCCUGCCCGGUGCCGGAAGGUUAAUUGAUGGGGUUAUCCGUAAGGAGAAGCUCUUGAUCGAAGCCCCGGUAAACGGCGGCCGUAACUAUAACGGUCCUAAGGUAGCGAAAUUCCUUGUCGGGUAAGUUCCGACCUGCACGAAUGGCGUAAUGAUGGCCAGGCUGUCUCCACCCGAGACUCAGUGAAAUUGAACUCGCUGUGAAGAUGCAGUGUACCCGCGGCAAGACGGAAAGACCCCGUGAACCUUUACUAUAGCUUGACACUGAACAUUGAGCCUUGAUGUGUAGGAUAGGUGGGAGGCUUUGAAGCGUGGACGCCAGUCUGCGUGGAGCCAACCUUGAAAUACCACCCUUUAAUGUUUGAUGUUCUAACGUUGGCCCCUUACCGGGGUUGCGGACAGUGUCUGGUGGGUAGUUUGACUGGGGCGGUCUCCUCCCAAAGCGUAACGGAGGAGCACGAAGGUUAGCUAAUCCUGGUCGGACAUCAGGAGGUUAGUGCAAUGGCAUAAGCUAGCUUGACUGCGAGCGUGACGGCGCGAGCAGGUGCGAAAGCAGGUCAUAGUGAUCCGGUGGUUCUGAAUGGAAGGGCCAUCGCUCAACGGAUAAAAGGUACUCCGGGGAUAACAGGCUGAUACCGCCCAAGAGUUCAUAUCGACGGCGGUGUUUGGCACCUCGAUGUCGGCUCAUCACAUCCUGGGGCUGAAGUAGGUCCCAAGGGUAUGGCUGUUCGCCAUUUAAAGUGGUACGCGAGCUGGGUUUAGAACGUCGUGAGACAGUUCGGUCCCUAUCUGCCGUGGGCGCUGGAGAAUUGAGGGGGGCUGCUCCUAGUACGAGAGGACCGGAGUGGACGCAUCACUGGUGUUCGGGUUGUCAUGCCAAUGGCACUGCCCGGUAGCUAAAUGCGGAAGAGAUAAGUGCUGAAAGCAUCUAAGCACGAAACUUGCCCCGAGAUGAGUUCUCCCUGAGACUUUAAGUCUCCUGAAGGAACGUUGAAGACGACGACGUUGAUAGGCCGGGUGUGUAAGCGCAGCGAUGCGUUGAGCUAACCGGUACUAAUGAACCGUGAGGCUUAACCUU